rnacentral:lncRNA from 1 species
UCUGCUCACUUAUUAGUAACUUUCUCGAUGCUGCAGUUGUAUAAUUGAUCUUUUGAUCUGAGAUGACACUACUGCUCACAGUGAGACUGCUGGAGUUUGACUGACACAUCAACAUGAAUCUCAAAGAGCCCUUGUAGUGGAUGUUGGCGACAGUUGAUCUACUGUAGGAGUGGGGUAUGCAUCAAGAUGGGAUCUAUCGACCCUAGCAAAAGGGAGUAGUCCUAUGAGAUUUAAGAGACCGAGUCUUUAAGUCUAUGGCCGUAGCGGUGUGAUUAAUGAAAAAAAUUUUCAUAGAAUCACAUAUGGACUUAAGCUGAUUGAAUCUAUCAUAUGACCGAUGUUGAGGUUUGACGAUUUAUCCAUGACCUGCCAUCUAGUCGGAACUUAUGAUAGAGAGAUUGAAUCACACGUUAACUACACCUAGAGGUUCAUUUCAAUUCUACUGGAUUGCCACUACAUACUGCUAGAUGUCAUUGAUGGAUUGUGAGAGCUCAUUAGGGUUGUUCCGGAUCAACAAUCCUUUUGAGUUAGAGUGAAAUUAUUCCGAUCCAUUGAAAAUAGUUUCAAUGAUACGAUGAUAGAGAUCAUUAUAUGUCUCACUACCAGAUAGAAUUGAACCUAUGAGGUCACACAACAAAGAAAUUAAGCCUGGAAUAAGUAAUUGAGCUUAUGAAGUGUC